rnacentral:sRNA from 1 species
GGAUCGCAGGGCUCCCAAAAUGGCGAGUGAGGCUGCGGGGACUCGCUGAGCAGCGGAGGGGGAGCGUGCAGAGCCGCUGCGGCCCUCACAGUCCGGAGCCCGGCCGUGCCGUGCCGUAGGGAACAUGCACUUUUCCAUUCCCGAAACCGAGUCCCGCAGCGGGGACAGCGGCGGCUCCGCCUACGUGGCCUAUAACAUUCACGUGAAUGGAGUCCUGCACUGUCGGGUGCGCUACAGCCAGCUCCUGGGGCUGCACGAGCAGUUCGGCAAGACCCAUUGCUUGGGAGCAGCGAGACCUUCAACAGUUUCCUGCGUCGGGCACAACAGGAGACACAGCAGGUCCCCACAGAGGAAGUGUCCUUGGAAGUGCUGCUCAGCAACGGGCAGAAAGUUCUGGUCAACGUGCUAACUUCAGAUCAGACUGAGGAUGUCCUGGAGGCUGUAGCUGCAAAGCUGGAUCUUCCAGAUGACUUGAUUGGAUACUUCAGUCUAUUCUUAGUUCGAGAAAAAGAGGAUGGAGCCUUUUCUUGUGAGUUUCUCUGGACUUGACUGCUUCCUUGUACUUCAGUAGAGUUUGCAACCCCCCUAACUCCCCACCCCCACCCCCAGAAUGAACAUUGCCUCAGGGCACUUCUUUCUUGAUUUCCCUUCCUUUAAAUCUCACUAUAUUUUCCUUUUUUUUUUUUUUAACCCAUAGUUGUACGGAAGUUGCAGGAGUUUGAGCUGCCUUAUGUGUCUGUCACCAGCCUUCGGAGUAAAGAGUAUAAGAUUGUGCUAAGGAAGAGUUAUUGGGACUCUGCCUAUGAUGACGAUGUCAUGGAGAACCGGGUUGGCCUGAACCUGCUUUAUGCUCAGACGGUAUCAGAUAUUGAGCGUGGGUGGAUCUUGGUCACCAAGGAACAGCACCGGCAACUCAAAUCUCUGCAAGAGAAAGUCUCCAAGAAGGAGUUCCUGAGACUGGCCC